GUUUUGUAAUGGUGUUUGGGUAAUCUUUGCAGGUUCACUAAUGAUCUACCGAUGGAUGUAGAAGUCUAGAGAAGUAUCUGAAAAACAAACAGAUAUUGAGUUUGGUGUUUAGAACAUUUCGAUCUGUCCAAUUGUUGAUUUUAAUUUGGUUUUGGGGGGAAAGGAAUUUAGUCUUUUUAAGUCUCUUUUCUUUUCAUUUUCAGGUGGAACUCUGCAGGUUUAAUAGCGCAAGAAAACCAUCUUUCUUUGGAUCUCUGAAUCUUUGUUUACAAGUCUGAUGGAUUCUGGGAUAUCUGCUACAAAAAGGGUUUAAAAGUGUUUAAAUUAAACUAAAGAUCAGUCUACAGAAACUCCUCGCACACAAAUACAUCUUUGACAGACUAAUGCCAAACAGACUUCCCCCUGCUUCUUCAGAUCUCCUCUCCCCCUCGUCUGUGUGAACAUGCACAGACAUGUUCGGAAAGACCAGAAGGGAAACCCCCAAUGCAUGCAGCGGAAGCACUUUGCAUCCUGAAUCACAGGAUCUGUAAGCACAAAGGACAUAUGACUUACAGUACAUAUCUUUGAUUUUCAGGAUUUCCUUGAUGUCUGGUAUCCAGAUUUCUGAGCAGGUGAGGGGGUUAAAACCAAGCUGAAUUUGGGUGUAGGAGGCGGGCAGAUGGACAGACUAAGAAAAUCAGACAGAGACCUUUAUGAAUAUGGAUGGCUGUAACGAAUACGCUAAAAUAGGUCAAAGCAGUGAUCUGGCUGCACGUGUGCUCUUUAGAAAUUCCAUAUAAAUUUGCAUGUGGGUCAGCUCUUUCUUUGAGGAACUGUUUGACCUUUGACCAUGCCUCUGUUUCCCCCUACAACCCACAUGCCCACACCCAUUUCACCUCUUCCCAUCCGGGACAGCUGUCAGCAUGGACCUGGCCAAAGAAAAGGGACCCAUCUGUCGUCUUCCUUCAAAGCUUACAACCCCUCACAACCCCAACCCAUCGUUAUCGGUGCAGCAAAAAUGGUGACCAAUAUCAGAGCUAUCCAGUCAUACAGUUUUGAGCCAGAUGCCAGCUCAAAACAAAAACGUACACGGAUCUAUUUGUCUGCAAGCGGAUGCAUCAGUGUGGAGGGAGCAGGGAGCUUGUGACUUGCUGACUGUAGCACCUACGUCACUGCUACAGGCAUUUUUCUUCUGCACCUGAUUCACAAAAACUUGAUUACAGAAACACUCAGUAAAUGCAAUUUUAUGCUCUUUACAUAUAUCCUCCAUCAUAAGAAAAAUGAUACAAAAACUUGUUAAUAACACCAAAAAUACAGUGUUCUUCAUUUAGCUUAAACGUGACUCAAUGUGUUUGUAAGUUUAAGGUUUAGAAUCCCAUUACAAAUUGCAAUAACCAAAUGUUAAACGUUAUACUUUUUAAUCUUUUCUAGAAAAAAAGGGGGAAAAGGACUCAUCAAUUUCCAUUUCAUGCUUAUUUUAGGAAAAACCAACACAUAUACAAAAGCCAAACAUGUCACUUUUAUCCAUGUAAGCAGAACAAAAGCUACAGGGAAUUUGGCUCAAAUAUGUUCCAAGUCGCGAAUUGCACUUUCAUGAUCUAACAGCUGUUUUCUUUUGAAGAGGAUUUUAAAUUGGAAUUCCCCUGAAGUUUCUACUUUUUUUUCUAACAUGAAGGUCCAAACAUUCCCCUCUGAAACAUUCCCCCUUGUUCAACAUCAAAACAGCACUGCAGGUGAUUUAUCACGGUUUUUUAAAGCAGGAGAUUAUAUUUGAUUUUUUUCCCAAGUUGUAAACCACAGUCCAGCUAUGGUCAAUAAAAUUAUCUUCACAUGUAAUGCUGUGCUGAGAGUUAUGAACAAUAAAAGCUUCUGUGUUAUCAUGCAACCUGGGAGGAAUGGAAAAGGAUCUUUGUUCAAGAUUACAGUGAAAGUACAUCGUCUUUAAUGACUUUGUAGAAUAGAUUAAAAGUUUAUUAAAGACAUUAUUUUUUUACCGUUGUUAUACCAUGGUCCGGGUGAAUUCUCAAUUCUGAUUGGCUUCUGGGUGUGUGUUAAAAAGUGAUAACGCACAGUGAUAACACACAGUGAUAACACACACGCCUAAGUUCCAGUUACAUAGCUUGAACGUUCUGAAUCACUGCACUGGCUUCUUUUAAACAAACUUUAGCUUCAUCAUUUGGACAAAAACAAGUAGUAAGAGGUGGACUUUCUCUCUGAACUGAUGCUUUAUUUAACCCAUCGUGACGACCAGCAGAUAUAUAUUUUUUUCUUUUUACGCUGAAGUCAAGGUCCGACCCCACUCAGCCGCUUAAUGUGACAACACGUAACAAAUAGUCAGUUUUUUGUGAAAAAAGCGAUCUGAACCGAAAAAGAAUAACAAGAACAAGUAAAAACUGAUUUAAUAUUUAUUUCUUUUGUAAGUGACCAUGGUAUAAGUAGGUUAAUGGCCUUUGAUGUGUUCAUCAACCGUCCGAGGUGAAGCGGAGGCUUCCACGGCGUCCGUUAAUUUCGUAUUAAUUAACCCUUAUGUGUAAUAUUUGGUUUCAUCUGUUCACAGGAAUAAACGACUUCUAAUCAAAUUUAGAUUAAAAUAAUUGACUACUCUUUUCAAUCUAUUUUUAAUAGUAGAGGAUGUUUACUGCUUAAGGACUAAACUACUCACUAGAAAAAAGUUGGCUAUGCCUGACAUUUUAACCAUCCACUUAGGUGAUCAAAACAUUAAAACAGCCACUCAGGAGAAUGCACUGUAGAAAUGUCAUUUGUCUGAUUACAUUUAGUUUUCUCAAUAUAACAGUUUAUGACAGCAGUCCUUCUGCAAUGUAUUUCACUAAUUGUGUCUGAAGUUUGGCAAAAAUAGAGAAUUUUGGAACUACCUGCAGAAAAUGUAAGGAAUCUUUUUCCCUUUUCUUUUUUCCCCUCUGUUUUUCAUAAAUGAAAAAAGAAAAUAAGCACACACACAAAAAAGAAAGAUAUAUGGGUGAAAAAAAGAACCUGUCAAUCCAUAGACACACAUUUAAAGGACCAAUAAUGUCUGACAUAAUUCUAGGGAAUAUAAAAAAGUGGCAAAGCCAUUUUGACUAAAUUCUCUGCCAAACUCAAUGUUGUUCUUAAAAGCGAAUAGAGUGAGGAAAAAAUGUUUUUUGCCUUUGUUUUCCAUUGAAAAAACCCGCCUUCAGUAAAACAAAAACACAAAUUCUACUAAAAUGGAAAUAGCUGUCUUAUAGAACUGUCAUCCCACAGGGUUGUCAUAAAUAGUAAAUAUAACAAUAAACAAAAUUUUUGAAACCAGACUGUCGAGUAAAGAGGACAACAAGUCCACAUGGUAUGACUCAACUUCAAUGCAGACUAUACAUACUUUACUUUUUGGUGUAAAUUUAGCAUUUUUAACAUGGAAGUCAAUAAAUAAAAAACUUUACCCUUUAGGAACCAGAUUUCCAGUGGUCAUUUGAGGAAUUGCAUCAUGUAGUAUUUGCAGGAUCACUUUUGGAAUGAACGAUGAGAACUUAAAAAAGGAAGGUAGAGUUUACCCGGUUUCUAAUAUUACAACAAAUAUGAAGCAAAAGUUUUGCUUUAUGUAUUCAUAAAUAAUCUAUUUUAAACAACUCCGGUAUUUAUUUUGAACAGUUAAACAAUCUAUAUACUUUUUUCAAUUUUGUCUUAAGAAAUGCUUAUGACAAAUAUUUUUAUUUUGUAACCCCAAAAGGCUCAUUGACUUUAUCAAAGCAGUCAAAAUAAUAGCGCUUCAUGCACAAAGCCAACAUUUUCUCCCUAUUUCUGCUGUCAAUUAGUAUUUGUGCUUUUUUUUUUUUUUUUUUGCUGCCCAAUUUUUUCUUUUCCCAAAUCUGAGAGACUCUAAAAGUUGAGAAGUAAGUGACUGGAAUAAAAGUGUUCCACCAAAACACAGAGCUGCAAGUGUAGACUGUGUGGUUACACAAUGUUAUGCAGCAGCAUCUCACAGACUCAGCUUCUUUCAUUAGCUGUUGCCAGUGAGAGUUUAUGUGCCAACCGCUGCUGUUGCAUGUAGGAUGUUAUGCUUGUGGACAGCAGAUACAGAUCACUUUCCUUCUGUCACUGGGGUUCUUCAAGUCACACUACAAAGAUAAACAUGCAGCAUCUUUCCUAAACUUACUUGGUGCUGAAGAUAUUUAGUUCCCCAACAACAGUUUUUAUAGUCUUUGUGAUCACAGGAACCAAAUGAUCAAUAUCUGUUCACCUCAGAUUCAAUCACUUACUGCUGACAUUUGACAGGUGUGUGACCCACAAAACUAAACAAUUUCAGAUGAAUUUCUUCUCUUUUGUUCUUUCAUAACCCAAAAAUGUUUCCUGUGUAUGUGUUUGGCUUUUUAAAAAAAUUAUGUCACUUAUGUGAAAGUUGCAAGCUAGUAAAUAUGCAGUUUUUUUUUAAAAUAAAAUCUGCUUUGUUUAGCAGAUUUCACAAACUACCUCUUCAUUUUCCAUAGUCCCACACGCCUUUUUUUUUCUCUUGGUACAGGAAGACAUGAGUAACGUUAAAAGAGACUUUUUAACACCAUCUGUCUUAGUAAUUUAAUCAUUACUAGAGUGCAUUACCUUUGGCACAAACAUAUUGUUUCCCCUAAGUGGGCCAUUCAAAUUGACAUGAUUGGUUACUUGUGGGUUUUAAAUUUCAGUUGAUAUUUGGGUGGGUUACUGACUUAACAUUGCACAUAAGUAGCAGGUCAUGAGUGGCUUUCUCGGGUAGCCUGUUUUUUUCUUUUUUUUUUCUUUAAUAUUACCCAAAGGAAAAUCCCAGUUUUAUAAAGUAGGUCUCUGUCAGUGAAGUAUGGUUGCUUGGGCAGGUAAAAUCAAUACUGUUUCUAUGGCACUUUACGAGGGCAUACACUAUUCACAUCGACACUCAACAGUCAAGAUGGGACAGAUGGAGAAGCAUUUCAUUUUUAUAAACCAAACUGCGCAAUGUGUGACCAAAAAAAACAUGUUUUUUUCGUUCUUUUUGUCUUUUUAGGCCAGCCUUUUUGUCAUAAACCUUUUCCCUCAAAGAUAUACACAGUAUCUAUUUUCAGCUUGUUAGGACAAUUAUGGCCCACCAUGUGUUUUUUAUGCUCUGUACCCUGCUGUCCCAAAGCCUUGUAAAUUAGUACUGCUGCCAUAUACUGAGCCUAUUCCUUAAAUGUGCCGUAACUACAAAGGAGAUCAUAUUCUUGCUGCAAAGUUAACAUUUGUAAAGUGUACACUCCCAAAGUUAUUUCAAGGCAGAGGAUAAAACGGUCUAUACUCUUUUUAGUUUUCAAAUAACCAGGUUCCACAUCUGAUUAACCUUGUUCCUUUGAUUAACCUGGUUAUGUCUCUGCCCAGUGCCAAACCACCUCCUUGCAAUCUCAUCCUAAAUCAAAGGAAAACCCUAACUACAUUGUAAAAGGAUCCCAUCAUCAACAUCCUGCAAAAAAAAGAAAGAUGCAGUUAUCCUAAAUGUAGUGAAGUUUAAUACAAUCAGUACCAUCAUAAAUGAGCAACUAAAACAAGGCCCUACCAGUGGCUACAAGAAGAAUAUUAUGGACGGUUUACUGGAGCUUGUGACAGUCCAAGUUACUGACAAACAACCCUAUUAUAGAUGGCAUCUAUGACCUCCCAAAAAUAAUUGUCACCACAGUUAGAUGGAGACAGCUUCACGAGUUGGACUAUGAGAAAGGACAAAAAUGACUUUGGACCAAAUCUGCUAAGUACUGAAAAUGUGCCUCAAAACAACAUAAUUCCAGUUCCAAGAACCACUUCUAGAGGCUAGUACAUGGUUGUGCCAUGGGCUCCCCAGUUUCAACCAUUAUGACCAACAUUGAGGAAGUGGGGAGAAAUGAGCCAAAGUGUCCACAAGCAAUGAAGGUGGGAAUAAAGAGGAACAGUGUGCUUGCCAACCCCAGAGAACCUGCAAAUAUCCAAUAUCUGCUUUCUCCAAAUUCCAGAUCCAGUAGUACAGCAGAA
ensembl:lncRNA